rnacentral:tRNA from 1 species
GGGCGCGUAGCUCAGUGGAUAGAGCACUGGUCUUCGGAACCAGGUGUCGGGGGUUCGAAUCCCUCCGCGCCCGCCA